rnacentral:rRNA from 1 species
UACGUAGGGUGCGAGCGUUGCCCGGAUUUAUUGGGCGUAAAGGGCGCGUAGGCGGCUCUGCACGUCCGUUGUGAAAUCGCCCGGCUCAACUGGGCGGGGUCAGCGGAUACGGCGGAGCUUGAGCAAGCUAGGGGGCAAUGGAAUUCCCGGUGUAGUGGUGGAAUGCGUAGAUAUCAGGAGGAGCACCUGCGGUGUAGACGGCUUACUGGACCACCACUGACGCUGAGGCACGAAAGCGUGGGUAGCAAACAGG